CGCAGCAGGCACUUGUACGAUACAUAACAAGCGAUAUUCAACAUGAACCAUUGAACAGUGUUGCCAACCUAUGUUUACGACGAAGACGUACGCUCAGAAAAUCGCACGCCUAAUCAUGCGCAACGGAAACCGAAUUCAAAGACAAAUCCCUGGCUCGAAUGGCAUAUGAACAAAACCAAUGCAUUUAUGAGAGUCGAUCCACUGUCCGUUUAAAUUGGAAAGAAAUGAUUUGCGAGUAGGUGGUAGAGGAGAACAUGGCAUGGAACCUACCUACUCUACGGCAGAAGCUGACUCCAGAAAGUAAUGAUGGAUAUUCUUCGCAGGAACAGAAAUGGCUCAAAAGCCAUUAGGUCCUCAGCCUUCGCGGUCAAUUAUGAGACUGUCAUUGAGCUAAUUAUUCGAAUUAUAUAUUUUACGAUUUCAGAGAAAUUCACCACGAUACUAUCGAGUCACUGGCUGAUAACGAGAGUCAAACCGAAUUAAACGGGCAAUUGAUACGAAAUACGAUAAAAUAGAAAGGUCACGAAUACGAAGUAGGUCUGAAUUGCCAUUGUCAGCACGAAGAAAAGGUACUCUUUCGAAAUUGAAAGCGAUUCGCAGUCUUUUGUAAUUUGAAUGAUGGAGUAUCCUGUAUCCGUUUUCCACUUGUAUAAGACGUCAGAAACGAAUAUCGAUGUUCUAAUGUGGGCCUACCUAUGUAUUUGUAAAGGAAGAAAUUGUUUGGUUGGAGAGUCAGGAAUGUGCGCCAUUCAUUUUUCCAGUGAUCUUUUUUUGGCAGCCAACUGAGAAGGUAAGCCUUUCAAGCUUUAAUCGUUCGUGUCUGAUUUUA